UGGGGAAUAUUGCACAAUGGGCGCAAGCCUGAUGCAGCCAUGCCGCGUGUGUGAAGAAGGCCUUCGGGUUGUAAAGCACUUUCAGCGAGGAGGAAGGUGGUGAACUUAAUACGUUCAUCAAUUGACGUUACUCGCAGAAGAAGCACCGGCUAACUCCGUGCCAGCAGCCGCGGUAAUACGGAGGGUGCAAGCGUUAAUCGGAAUUACUGGGCGUAAAGCGCACGCAGGCGGUUUGUUAAGUCAGAUGUGAAAUCCCCGGGCUCAACCUGGGAACUGCAUUUGAAACUGGCAAGCUAGAGUCUCGUAGAGGGGGGUAGAACUCCAGGUGUAGCGGUGAAAUGCGUAGAGAUCUGGAGGAAUACCGGUGGCGAAGGCGGCCCCCUGGACGAAGACUGACGCUCAGGUGCGAAAGCGUGGGG
rnacentral:rRNA from 1 species